rnacentral:rRNA from 2 species
CACUGACACUGUGGCCCGAAAGCGUGGGGAGCUACCAGGGAGUUGAUAUCCCUCGUAGUAUCACGCCCUUUAAUGUUUAGAACUUGAUGUUGGGUGCAAUUUGGCAUGCAGUAUCGAAACUAAAGCCUUAAAUUUCCACGCCUGGGGGGUAUUGUCGCAAGGAUGAAACUCAAAGGAAUUGACGGUUGAUCGGACAAGCGGUCGAGUUUGUGGUUUAAUUCGAUGCAACGGGAAGAACCUUACCUGGCUUUGACAAGUCGAGAACUUUCCCGAGAUGGGUUGCGGCCUUCGGGAAAUCGAACACCGGUUCCGCCUGGCUUCGUCAGCUUGUUUCCCUACAAAAUGGGUUUAGUACCCCAAGGAGUGCUUCCCUUCUCCGUUAUUGGCAGGUCCGACUGGUGGGCACUCUACAGUGUCCGCCGGUGCCAAAUCCGAGGAGGGUGGGGGUGACGUCUAGUCAUCUGUCGCUUACGGCCCGUGUCCCACCCGUCUCCAAUCGUCCGUCACAGGCCUUUACACUGCCGACGUUCAGCCAAUCCCAGAAACCCUAUUUCAGUCCGGAUUGGAGUCUGCAACUCGACUCCAUGAAGUCGGAAUCGCUAGUAAUCGCAGAUCAGCAUUGCUGCGGUGAAUACGUUCCCGGGCCUUGUACACACCGCCCGUCACACCAUGGGAGUGUGUGUUGCUACCAGAAGUCAAGGUAGUCUUAACCUCAAGGAGGACGCUGCC